rnacentral:rRNA from 1 species
ACGAACUGCGCGAACAUUAUUCGGAAUCACUGGGCUUAAAGGGUGCGUAGGCGGCCUGUUAAGUAGGGUGUGAAAUUUGUCGGCUCAACCGGCAAACUGCAUUCUAAACUGGCAGGCUUGAGUGAGUCAGGGGUGUGUGGAACUUCCGGUGGAGCGGUGAAAUGUGUUGAUAUCGGAAGGAACGCCGGUGGCGAAAGCGACACGCUGGGGCUUUACUGACGCUGAGGCACGAAAGCUAAGGUAGCGAACAGG